rnacentral:rRNA from 1 species
GAUGAACGCUAGCGGGAGGCCUAACACAUGCAAGCCGGGCGGUAUUUGUUCUUCGGAACAGAGAGAGCGGCGCACGGGUGCGGAACACGUGUGCAACCUGCCUUUAUCUGGGGGAUAGCCUUUCGAAAGGAAGAUUAAUACCCCAUAAUAUAUUGAGUGGCAUCACUUGAUAUUGAAAACUCCGGUGGAUAGAGAUGGGCACGCGCAAGAUUAGAUAGUUGGUGAGGUAACGGCUCACCAAGUCAAUGAUCUUUAGGGGGCCUGAGAGGGUGAUCCCCCACACUGGUACUGAGACACGGACCAGACUCCUACGGGAGGCAGCAGUGAGGAAUAUUGGACAAUGGGUUAGCGCCUGAUCCAGCCAUCCCGCGUGAAGGACGACGGCCCUAUGGGUUGUAAACUUCUUUUGUAUAGGGAUAAACCUACUCUCGUGAGAGUAGCUGAAGGUACUAUACGAAUAAGCACCGGCUAACUCCGUG